UAAAGAGGGAGUUGGAAGCUAAAGGGCUGCUGCAGCAGCUCUGGUGAGGCUGGUUAACCUCUCAUUGUGUAAGGAAUGCUGCUCACGUGAAUGUGAUAGGCCUUGAGCAGAGUCCCAAAUCCCCCUGUUCUGCUGAAAAUGUGCACUUGGUGGUGAUGAGGACACCAGUAGCCUCUCUGCAUUUGGCUACAUCCCAACAUGAUUGAUGCUGAUUCCAGUCACAUUCAGCAUUUUGCAGGAAGUUGGAAGGAUUUGAAACUCAUCCAGGGAUUUGAAACUUCAGCAGUUUCUCUUCCUCUGAAAUACUUGAACCAGGCAAAGGAAAUUUUCAGGCUGCAUUAUGACCUUAAUUCCUCCUUUUUGCCCAUUAUCUCCUCAUUAUUGACCUAUAAUAAAUAUGAGUCCUUCAAGGACUUUUUUUCUCCCCAAAUCUCUUUAAGAAUGAAUGCUAGCAAUGUUGAAUCAAGGGCAUGGUGUCAAAUGGAAUAGUUUCAGGAUAAGCAGAGUUUUCUUUGAAUCUUGUUUAGAUGGGUGUAAUUUAAAAAAAAAAAAAAAGGCAAAGCUGGAGUUUAUAUCUAAGAGUGAGCUGCAAGUUCCCAUCAGUUAUUAACUCUUCUUUUCCCCCUAUGUAUCUUAUAGCAAAGCUAACCAUAACAGUAUUGUAUAAUUUCCUGUGUAAUAUGUAGUGUGAUAAAUUAGACUACACAAGUGGCUAUGUAUGACCAGCAGCAGCAAAGAAGUUAUAUAAAUAAACCAAAGUUAAUUAAAAUAUUAGAAAAUAUA
rnacentral:lncRNA from 1 species